rnacentral:rRNA from 1 species
GACGUAGGGCGCGAGCGUUUGUCCGGAUUUAUUGGGCGUAAAGAGCUCGUAGGCGGCUUGUCGCGUCGACUGUGAAAACCCGUGGCUCAACCAUGUGGUCUGCAGUCGAUACGGGCAGGCUAGAAUUCGGUAGGGGAGACUGGAAUUCCUGGUGUAGCGGUGAAAUGCGCAGAUAUCAGGAGGAACACCGAUGGCGAAGGCAGGUCUCUGGGCAUUAACUGACGCUGAGGAGCGAAAGCAUGGGGGAGCGAACAGG